GACGAACGCUGGCGGCGUGCUUAACACAUGCAAGUCGAACGGAAAGCCCCUGCUUGCAGGGUACUCGAGUGGCGAACGGGUGAGUAACACGUGGGUGAUCUGCCCUGCACUUCGGGAUAAGCCUGGGAAACUGGGUCUAAUACCGGAUAGGAGCCAUUUUUAGUGUGAUGGUUGGAAAGUUUUUUCGGUGUAGGAUGAGCUCGCGGCCUAUCAGCUUGUUGGUGGGGUAAUGGCCUACCAAGGCGGCGACGGGUAGCCGGCCUGAGAGGGUGGACGGCCACAUUGGGACUGAGAUACGGCCCAGACUCCUACGGGAGGCAGCAGUGGGGAAUAUUGCACAAUGGGCGCAAGCCUGAUGCAGCGACGCCGCGUGGGGGAUGACGGCCUUCGGGUUGUAAACUCCUUUCGCUAGGGACGAAGCUUUUUGUGACGGUACCUAGAUAAGAAGCACCGGCUAACUACGUG
rnacentral:rRNA from 1 species